rnacentral:rRNA from 1 species
UACGUAGGUGGCAAGCGUUGUCCGGAUUUACUGGGCGUAAAGGAUGCGUAGGCGGACAUUUAAGUCAGAUGUGAAAUACCCGAGCUUAACUUGGGUGCUGCAUUUGAAACUGGGUGUCUAGAGUGCAGGAGAGGUAAGUGGAAUUCCUAGUGUAGCGGUGAAAUGCGUAGAGAUUAGGAAGAACACCAGUGGCGAAGGCGACUCACUGGCCCGAUACUGACGCUGAGGCACGAAAGCGUGGGGAGCAAACAGG